AUUGAACGCUGGCGGCAGGCCUAACACAUGCAAGUCGAGCGGGGUUUCGGACCUAGCGGCGGACGGGUGAGUAAUGCGUAGGAAGCUGCCCGAUAGAGGGGGAUACCAGUUGGAAACGACUGUUAAUACCGCAUAAUGUCUACGGACCAAAGUGUGGGACCUUCGGGCCACAUGCUAUCGGAUGCGCCUACGUGGGAUUA
rnacentral:rRNA from 1 species